CCGGAGCCUUCGGCAUCCUGGCGGCCCACGUGCCCACGCUGCAGGUCCUGCGGCCGGGGCUGGUCGUGGUGCAUGCAGAGGACGGCACCACCUCCAAAUACUUUGUGAGCAGCGGUUCCAUCGCAGUGAACGCCGACUCUUCGGUGCAGUUGUUGGCCGAAGAGGCCGUGACGCUGGACAUGUUGGACCUGGGGCCAAGGCAAACUUGGAGAAGGCCCAGGCGGAGCUGGUGGGGACAGCUGACGAGGCCACGCGGGCAGAGAUCCAGAUCCGAAUCGAGGCCAACGAGGCCCUGGUGAAGGCCCUGGAGUAGGCGAGCCAGCCGCCAAGGUUGACCUCAGCUUCGGAGCCACCUCUGGAUGAACUGCCCCCAGCCCCCGCCCCAUUAAAGACCCGGAAGCCUGA
rnacentral:lncRNA from 1 species